UGGGGAAUAUUGCACAAUGGGGGAAACCCUGAUGCAGCAACGCCGCGUGCGGGAUGACGGCCUUCGGGUUGUAAUCCGCUUUCAGCCAUGACGAAGCUUUUGUGACGGUAGUGGCAGAAGAAGCACCGGCUAACUACGUGCCAGCAGCCGCGGUGAUACGUAGGGUGCGAGCGUUGUCCGGAAUUAUUGGGCGUAAAGAGCUUGUAGGCGGUUUGUCGCGUCGAAAGUGUAAACUCAGUGCUUAACGCUGAGCCUGCUUUCGAUACGGGCUGACUAGAGGAAGGUAGGGGAGAAUGGAAUUCCCGGUGGAGCGGUGGAAUGCGCAGAUAUCGGGAGGAACACCAGUGGCGAAGGCGGUUCUCUGGACCUUUCCUGACGCUGAGAAGCGAAAGCGUGGGUAGCAAACAGG
rnacentral:rRNA from 1 species